ACGCCACGACCUGUUUGAGAGCAGCAUCUGGAGCAGAGAGACUACAGGGACCAGCAUGCAGUAUUCGGCCGGCGCUGGAGAGUGGAGUUUGGAAAUGUGUAAUUUGUUGUAAAUAAAAUAAUAUUUUAAUUAAUUGCUGGAGGGAGAUUAACGCCUUGAUUCUAUUUUUUCCUCCCGGACACUGACGAGGGAAGUUGUCUAUGUUGUUAGACAAAUGAAGGAGUAAAAUGAAAAGAGCUCGAAGUUGAAAACUUUUCUCCUGGUUUUUUCUCCCCCGGGCCUUUCGGCAACUGUAGAAGAAAUGAUUCGUUUAAGAGAUAAUUAAUGAUGUCUUCCAUGCAAAUAUUAAACCUCCAAAUGUUUUCAGUUGGACAAGGAAUGAGAGACAAAGUCUACCAAUCAUGCUUGGUCAUGGGGUCAUGGAGCCAGCAACAGCGGUGGUUGGGAGCCUUUGAUGGUUGGCCACAAGGCAGCCAGUUGCAGUUGGCAGCAUCACAGCUUCAUCAAUGUCUAGAGUGGUGCCAGAGCAGGACUGUGCAGCAAGGAAGCUAAUGCAGCAACAAAGCAUGGCAGCGGCUAGGACCCAGUGUGGGCCCGGAUGGCGGGAGCAGCGAGGCAGUGGUCCCAGCCAAUGGAGGUUGGCAGCGGCAGUGAGAGCAGCUGGCAAACACGGGCAGUACGUAGCCCAACGCAGGGAAGAGCACGUCCUGUUGGGGAAAGCCUAUCUUGGAGUGUCUGCAGGCUUGUGGCUUAAGAAGGGACUACAAUGUUUGACUUUUUAACUUUAUUUUCCAAUUCUUUACUAAGAAAACUGUAGUGCUGAGCUUUUUAACUUAUUUCUUUAUUUUUCUACUUCUGCAGCUAAGAUUUUGUUCCUAGGCGCAUUGUACCUAAGAUGCUGCCAUGUGUUGGCGACAUUGUACAUUUUUCAGUGUAUUCUUGUACCCGGUACUUGAGUACACAUGACAAUAAAACCUAAAUCUAAAAUCUAA